UACGUAGGGGGCAAGCGUUGUCCGGAAUCAUUGGGCGUAAAGCGCGUGUAGGCGGCUGGGUAAGUCCGCUCUGAAAGCCCGGGGCUCAACCCCGGGAGGCGGGUGGAUACUGCUCAGCUCGAGUCCGGAAGAGGAGUGUGGAAUUCCUGGUGUAGCGGUGAAAUGCGCAGAUAUCAGGAGGAACACCAAUGGCGAAGGCAGCACUCUGGGACGGUACUGACGCUGAGACGCGAAAGCCAGGGAGCAAACGGG
rnacentral:rRNA from 1 species